GAUGAACGCUGGCGGCGUGCCUAAUACAUGCAAGUCGAGCGAACGGACGAGAAGCUUGCUUCUCUGAUGUUUGCGGCGGACGGGUGAGUAACACGUGGAUAACCUACCUAUAAGACUGGGAUAACUUCGGGAAACCGGAGCUAAUACCGGAUGAUAUUUUGAACCGCAUGGUUCAAAAGUGAAAGACGGUCUUGCUGUCACUUAUAGAUGGAUCCGCGCUGCAUUAGCUAGUUGGUAAGGUAACGGCUUACCAAGGCAACGAUGCAUAGCCGACCUGAGAGGGUGAUCGGCCACACUGGAACUGAGGCACGGUCCAGACUCCUACGGGAGGCAGCAGUAGGGAAUCUUCCGCAAUGGGCGAAAGCCUGACGGGGCAACGCCGCGUGAGUGAUGAAGGUCUUCGGAUCGUAAAACUCUGUUAUUAGGGAAGAACAUAUGUGUAAGUAACUGUGCACAUCUUGACGGUACCUAAUCAGAAAGCCACGGCUAACUACGUG
rnacentral:rRNA from 1 species